rnacentral:rRNA from 1 species
AGAGUUAAACAGUACGUGAAAUUGUUGAAAGGGAAACGAUUGAAGCCAGUCGUACUGGCGGGAAAUCAACUUCUCGAGUGCUUGUCGUGGAUGACGUUGAGCCUCACGGCCAAUGUUGUUUGCGUUAUGGUGCUUUUGAGGUGUACUUUUCCGUAAGUAGGUCAACAUCGAUUUUGAUCGUCAUAAAAUGAUCGGAGGAAUGUGGCUCUGACUUCGGUUGGAGUGUUAUAGCCUUUGGUAGAUGUGACGAUUGGGAUCGAGGAUUGCAACGGAUACCUUUCGGGGCUACCUGUCUGAUCUCUGAUCGUUACUCUGGUGCCGAAAGCGUGCUUAUAACAUUCUAGUUGGCGGUCAAAAGGUUAGAACGUGAUUACAUUCGUUAAGGAUGUUGACGUAAUGGCUUUAAACGACC